AACAAACGCUGGCGGCGUGCCUAAUACAUGCAAGUCGAACGGGGAAAGCUUUCGGGUGAGUACUAGUGGCGCACGGGUGAGGAACGCGUGGAUAAUCUGCCUUAGAGUGGGGGAUAACUAGUCGAAAGAUUAGCUAAUACCGCAUAAGACCACGAGAGCUGCGGCUUUUGAGGUCAAAGGUUUUUCGCUCUAAGAUGAGUCCUCGUAAGAUUAGCUAGUUGGUGAGGUAACGGCUCACCAAGGCGACGAGCUUUAACUGGUCUGAGAGGAUGAUCAGUCACACUGGAACUGAGACACGGUCCAGACGACUACGGGAGGCAGCAGUAGGGAAUAUUGCACAAUGGAGGAAACUCUGAUGCAGCGACGCCGCGUGAGUGAUGAAGGCAUUCGGGACGUAAAGCUCUGUCGCAGGGGAAUAACACAAUGAAGGUACCCUGUAAGAAAGGAUCGGCUAACUUCGUG
rnacentral:rRNA from 1 species